UACGAAGGGGGCUAGCGUUGCUCGGAAUCAUUGGGCGUAAAGCGCGCGUAGGCGGUUACUUAUGUCGGAUGUGAAGCCCUCGGCUUAACUGAGGAAGUGCAUUCGAAACUGGGUAGCUAGAGUACUAAAGAGGGUCGCGGAAUUCCCGGUGUAGAGGUGAAAUCGUAGAUAUCGGGAGGAACACCGGUGGCGAAGGCGGCGACCUGGGUAGAUACUGACGCUGAGGCGCGAAAGCGUGGGAGCAACAGG
rnacentral:rRNA from 1 species